rfam:Pseudomonas oryzihabitans strain TSDA-ARS-TSMARC-56511, complete genome.
CCUCUUUCCUUAAGCACGGGAUCCAUCCCGGCCUGUUCCUCAGAGGAGCCCUAUCAUGGCACUGAGCGUUGAAGACAAAGCCCAGAUCGUAAACGAGUUCAAGCAAAGCGAA